AUGGCCUGGGCCCUGCUCCUUGCAUUGCUCACAGGCUACGUGGGUUCCAGUUCCCAGCAGCUGCAGCCCCUGACGCCAUCAGAGCAGGUGUCUCCCGGAGGGACUGUGACCAUCGCGUGCAGCCUGAGCAGUGGAGCAGUUGGUGAGGGCAACUACCCACAGUGGGUGCAACAGAAACCGGGGCAUGUUCCUCGGCUGCUGAUAUACAGCACCAGUACCCUGCCCUCUGGUGUGCCAGCGCGCUUCUCUGGGUCCCGAUCAGGGAACGCCAUGUCCUUGACCAUCACUGGGGCCCAGCCCGAGGAUGACGCUGAUUAUUACUGUUCGGUCCUCAGUAACGCCGUCCCCGUGCUGGGGCCUUCUCCAUAA